GCACCAGUGGUUUAGUGGUAAAAUCCAUCGUUGCCAUCGAUGGGCCCCGCGUUCGAUUCGCAGCUGGCGCA
rnacentral:tRNA from 1 species